rnacentral:rRNA from 1 species
UACAGAGGUCUCAAGCGUUUGUUCGGAUUCAUUGGGCGUAAAGGGUGCAUAGGUGGCGCGCUAAGUCAGGUGUGAAAUUUCGGAGCUUAACUCCGAAACUGCAUUUGAUACUGGCGUGCUUGAGGACUGGAGAGGAGACUGGAAUUCACGGUGUAGCAGUGAAAUGCGUAGAGAUGCGGAGGAACACCGAUGGCCGAAGGCAGCCCCCUGGGCUAACACUGACGCUCAGGCACGAAAGCGUGGGGAGCAAACAGG